UGGAAACAACCUAGAUGCCCCUCAUCAAAGAAUGGAUAAAGAAAAUGUGGUACAUUUACACAAUGGAGUAUUACUCAGCAGUGUAAAAAAAAUGGCAUCAUGAAAUUUGCAGACUAAUUGAUGGAACUAGACAAAAAUCAUCCUGCGUGAGGAGAAUGAAAACUAA